UACAGAGGUCUCAAGCGUUGUUCGGAAUCACUGGGCGUAAAGGGUGCGUAGGCCGCACGGUAAGUCAGAGGUGAAAUCCCGGAGCUCAACUUCGGAAUUACCUCCGAUACUGCCGUGCUUGAGGACUGGAGAGGAGUCUGGAAUUCACAGUGGAGCAGUGAAAUGCGUAGAUAUUGUGAGGAACACUAGUGGCGAAGGCGAGACUCUGGACAGUUCCUGACGCUGAGGCACGAAGGCCAGGGGAGCAAACGGG
rnacentral:rRNA from 1 species